rnacentral:rRNA from 1 species
AAACUUUCAACAACGGAUCUCUUGGUUCUGGCAUCGAUGAAGAACGCAGCGAAAUGCGAUAAGUAAUGUGAAUUGCAGAAUUCAGUGAAUCAUCGAAUCUUUGAACGCACAUUGCGCCCUCUGGUAUUCUGGGGGGCAUGCCUGUUCGAGCGU